GGGCCCGCAAGGGCAACCGGCGAACGGGUGCGUAACACGUGAGCAAUCUGCCGAUUUCUGGGGGAUAGCCGGCCCAACGGCCGGGUAAUACCGCAUACGCUCAGUGGGAGGAGUCUCCGGCUGAGGAAACCGUUAGGGGAGAUCGAGGAGCUCGCGGCCUAUCAGCUAGUUGGCGGGGUAAUGGCCCACCAAGGCACUGACGGGUAGCUGGUCUGAGAGGAUGGCCAGCCACAUUGGGACUGAGAGACGGCCCAGACUCCUACGGGAGGCAGCAGUGGGGAAUCUUGCGCAAUGGCCGGAAGGCUGACGCAGCGACGCCGCGUGUGGGAGGACGCCCUUCGGGGUGUAAACCACUGUUGCCCGGGACGAAUCCGCCUUUUCGAGGGCGUUGACGGUACCGGGUGAGGAAGCACCGGCUAACUCCGUGCCAGCAGCCGCGGUAAUACGGAGGGUGCGAGCGUNGUCCGGAAUCACUGGGCGUAAAGGGCGCGUAGGCGGCGCGAGAAGUCACUGGUGAAAGCCCGA
rnacentral:rRNA from 1 species